GUGCCAGCAGCCGCGGUAAUACGGAGGAUGCAAGCGUUAUCCGGAUUUAUUGGGCGUAAAGCGUCCGCAGGUGGCAGUUCAAGUCUGCUGUUAAAGGUCGGGGCUCAACCCCGAACAGGCAGUGGAAACUGAACAGCUAGAGUACGGUAGGGGCAGAGGGAAUUCCCAGUGUAGCGGUGAAAUGCGUAGAGAUUGGGAAGAACACCGGUGGCGAAAGCGCUCUGCUAGGCCGAAACUGACACUCAUGGACGAAAGCUAGGGGAGCGAAUGGGAUUAGAUACCCCCGUAGUCC
rnacentral:rRNA from 1 species